GAUCCAGCCUCGCACGGCAAAAAGCCGCGAACCCCGCCAGGCCUGGAAGGGAGCAACGGUAAGCGGAUAUUUUUGGGUGAUGCGAGUAAACUGGAUCUCC
rfam:Thermovirga lienii DSM 17291, complete genome.